rnacentral:rRNA from 2 species
GGGUUGUGAGGUUAAGCGACUAAGCGUACACGGUGGAUGCCCUGGCAGUCAGAGGCGAUGAAGGACGUGCUAAUCUGCGAUAAGCGUCGGUAAGGUGAUAUGAACCGUUAUAACCGGCGAUUUCCGAAUGGGGAAACCCAGUGUGAUUCGUCACACUAUCAUUAACUGAAUCCAUAGGUUAAUGAGGCGAACCGGGGGAACUGAAACAUCUAAGUACCCCGAGGAAAAGAAAUCAACCGAGAUACCCCCAGUAGCGGCGAGCGAACGGGGAGCAGCCCAGAGCCUGAAUCAGUGUGUGUGUUAGUGGAAGCGUCUGGAAAGGCGCGCGAUACAGGGUGACAGCCCCGUACACAAAAAUGCACAUACUGUGAGCUCGAUGAGUAGGGCGGGACACGUGGUAUCCUGUCUGAAUAUGGGGGGACCAUCCUCCAAGGCUAAAUACUCCUGACUGACCGAUAGUGAACCAGUACCGUGAGGGAAAGGCGAAAAGAACCCCGGCGAGGGGAGUGAAAAAGAACCUGAAACCGUGUACGUACAAGCAGUGGGAGCACGCUUAGGCGUGUGACUGCGUACCUUUUGUAUAAUGGGUCAGCGACUUAUAUUCUGUAGCAAGGUUAACCGAAUAGGGGAGCCGAAGGGAAACCGAGUCUUAACUGGGCGUUAAGUUGCAGGGUAUAGACCCGAAACCCGGUGAUCUAGCCAUGGGCAGGUUGAAGGUUGGGUAACACUAACUGGAGGACCGAACCGACUAAUGUUGAAAAAUUAGCGGAUGACUUGUGGCUGGGGGUGAAAGGCCAAUCAAACCGGGAGAUAGCUGGUUCUCCCCGAAAGCUAUUUAGGUAGCGCCUCGUGAAUUCAUCUCCGGGGGUAGAGCACUGUUUCGGCAAGGGGGUCAUCCCGACUUACCAACCCGAUGCAAACUGCGAAUACCGGAGAAUGUUAUCACGGGAGACACACGGCGGGUGCUAACGUCCGUCGUGAAGAGGGAAACAACCCAGACCGCCAGCUAAGGUCCCAAAGUCAUGGUUAAGUGGGAAACGAUGUGGGAAGGCCCAGACAGCCAGGAUGUUGGCUUAGAAGCAGCCAUCAUUUAAAGAAAGCGUAAUAGCUCACUGGUCGAGUCGGCCUGCGCGGAAGAUGUAACGGGGCUAAACCAUGCACCGAAGCUGCGGCAGCGACGCUGAUGCGUUGUUGGGUAGGGGAGCGUUCUGUAAGCCUGCGAAGGUGUGCUGUGAGGCAUGCUGGAGGUAUCAGAAGUGCGAAUGCUGACAUAAGUAACGAUAAAGCGGGUGAAAAGCCCGCUCGCCGGAAGACCAAGGGUUCCUGUCCAACGUUAAUCGGGGCAGGGUGAGUCGACCCCUAAGGCGAGGCCGAAAGGCGUAGUCGAUGGGAAACAGGUUAAUAUUCCUGUACUUGGUGUUACUGCGAAGGGGGGACGGAGAAGGCUAUGUUGGCCGGGCGACGGUUGUCCCGGUUUAAGCGUGUAGGCUGGUUUUCCAGGCAAAUCCGGAAAAUCAAGGCUGAGGCGUGAUGACGAGGCACUACGGUGCUGAAGCAACAAAUGCCCUGCUUCCAGGAAAAGCCUCUAAGCAUCAGGUAACAUCAAAUCGUACCCCAAACCGACACAGGUGGUCAGGUAGAGAAUACCAAGGCGCUUGAGAGAACUCGGGUGAAGGAACUAGGCAAAAUGGUGCCGUAACUUCGGGAGAAGGCACGCUGAUAUGUAGGUGAAGUCCCUCGCGGAUGGAGCUGAAAUCAGUCGAAGAUACCAGCUGGCUGCAACUGUUUAUUAAAAACACAGCACUGUGCAAACACGAAAGUGGACGUAUACGGUGUGACGCCUGCCCGGUGCCGGAAGGUUAAUUGAUGGGGUCAGCGCAAGCGAAGCUCUUGAUCGAAGCCCCGGUAAACGGCGGCCGUAACUAUAACGGUCCUAAGGUAGCGAAAUUCCUUGUCGGGUAAGUUCCGACCUGCACGAAUGGCGUAAUGAUGGCCAGGCUGUCUCCACCCGAGACUCAGUGAAAUUGAACUCGCUGUGAAGAUGCAGUGUACCCGCGGCAAGACGGAAAGACCCCGUGAACCUUUACUAUAGCUUGACACUGAACAUUGAGCCUUGAUGUGUAGGAUAGGUGGGAGGCUUUGAAGUGUGGACGCCAGUCUGCAUGGAGCCGACCUUGAAAUACCACCCUUUAAUGUUUGAUGUUCUAACGUUGACCCGUGAUCCGGGUUGCGGACAGUGUCUGGUGGGUAGUUUGACUGGGGCGGUCUCCUCCUAAAGAGUAACGGAGGAGCACGAAGGUUGGCUAAUCCUGGUCGGACAUCAGGAGGUUAGUGCAAUGGCAUAAGCCAGCUUGACUGCGAGCGUGACGGCGCGAGCAGGUGCGAAAGCAGGUCAUAGUGAUCCGGUGGUUCUGAAUGGAAGGGCCAUCGCUCAACGGAUAAAAGGUACUCCGGGGAUAACAGGCUGAUACCGCCCAAGAGUUCAUAUCGACGGCGGUGUUUGGCACCUCGAUGUCGGCUCAUCACAUCCUGGGGCUGAAGUAGGUCCCAAGGGUAUGGCUGUUCGCCAUUUAAAGUGGUACGCGAGCUGGGUUUAGAACGUCGUGAGACAGUUCGGUCCCUAUCUGCCGUGGGCGCUGGAGAAUUGAGGGGGGCUGCUCCUAGUACGAGAGGACCGGAGUGGACGCAUCACUGGUGUUCGGGUUGUCAUGCCAAUGGCACUGCCCGGUAGCUAAAUGCGGAAGAGAUAAGUGCUGAAAGCAUCUAAGCACGAAACUUGCCCCGAGAUGAGUUCUCCCUGACUCCUUGAGAGUCCUGAAGGAACGUUGAAGACGACGACGUUGAUAGGCCGGGUGUGUAAGCGCAGCGAUGCGUUGAGCUAACCGGUACUAAUGAACCGUGAGGCUUAACCUUACAACGCCGAAGCUGUU